GCGUGUAAGCAGAAGGGGCAGGGAUCUCUCAGGCAGCAGGGUGCCUCCCUUCCCAUCGGAGCAGCCCCAAUCCCAUUCCUACUUACGUGUAAGCAGGAGGGGAGCCCUCAGCUGGGAAGGGAGGUUUCCCGCUGCCUAACUGAGAGAUCCCUGCCCCCUCCUGCUUGCACGC